CUGGAAGGGCUGCUGGAAGCCAUCUUCGCACGGUUCUUCCCUUGGCUUUAGAGCCCCGAAGCGCUCUUUGACUUGAGCUGCUUUGCAUUCUCUCUGUCCUGCCAUCGAGAAAGUUCUGAGCGGCUCAGAAGUAAUACUGACACUGAAAGAAGGCACUUGUCCCUAUUUUACACAGGAGGAAGCAGAGAGCCCAGGGGAUGACUCGACCCAGGCACACGGCUGAUGGAUUGAUGAACGGCAGAGCUGGCCUCAGACCACAGGCAACUCUGGGAGGAAGAAAUUAGGACGCAGAUACCCAGAGGGGAGACAUGAGGACAGAGGGAAAAGCCGGCCAUCCGCAUGCCAGGCAGAGAGGCCUCGGGAGAAGCCGCCCCUGCUGGCACCUCCACCUCGGACUUCUAGCCUCCAGAAUUCUUAGGAAAACGAGGGCCCAAGAGGCAGGAACCAGCUUGGAGCCACACGGCUGCCACCUGUGGAGGGCAGAGCCCAGUGGUUAAGAGCAGGGCUACCGUGUCCGCCAGUCAUUCAUGGAGGUGAUGACUUUGGUGUCACCCCUGAGUGAAGAGG
rnacentral:lncRNA from 10 species